rnacentral:rRNA from 1 species
GUGGGUAGUUUGACUGGGGCGGUCUCCUCCUAAAGAGUAACGGAGGAGCACGAAGGUUGGCUAAUCCUGGUCGGACAUCAGGAGGUUAGUGCAAUGGCAUAAGCCAGCUUGACUGCGAGCGUGACGGCGCGAGCAGGUGCGAAAGCAGGUCAUAGUGAUCCGGUGGUUCUGAAUGGAAGGGCCAUCGCUCAACGGAUAAAAGGUACUCCGGGGAUAACAGGCUGAUACCGCCCAAGAGUUCAUAUCGACGGCGGUGUUUGGCACCUCGAUGUCGGCUCAUCACAUCCUGGGGCUGAAGUAGGUCCCAAGGGUAUGGCUGUUCGCCAUUUAAAGUGGUACGCGAGCUGGGUUUAGAACGUCGUGAGACAGUUCGGUCCCUAUCUGCCGUGGGCGCUGGAGAACUGAGGGGGGCUGCUCCUAGUACGAGAGGACCGGAGUGGACGCAUCACUGGUGUUCGGGUUGUCAUGCCAAUGGCACUGCCCGGUAGCUAAAUGCGGAAGAGAUAAGUGCUGAAAGCAUCUAAGCACGAAACUUGCCCCGAGAUGAGUUCUCCCUGAGACUUUAAGUCUCCUGAAGGAACGUUGAAGACGACGACGUUGAUA